rnacentral:rRNA from 1 species
UACGUAGGGUGCUAGCGUUGUCCGGAAUUAUUGGGCGUAACGAGCUCGUAGGCGGUGUGUCACGUCGGCCGUGAAAACCUGCAGCUUAACUGUGGGCGUGCGGUCGAUACGGGCAUCACUGGAGUUCGGCAGGGGAGACUGGAAUUCCUGGUGUAGCGGUGAAAUGCGCAGAUAUCAGGAGGAACACCGGUGGCGAAGGCGGGUCUCUGGGCCGAUACUGACGCUCAUGUGCGAAAGCGUGGGGAGCAAACAGG